GACGAACGCUGGCGGCGUGCUUAACACAUGCAAGUCGAACGGUAAGGCCCUUCGGGGUACACGAGUGGCGAACGGGUGAGUAACACGUGGGUGAUCUGCCCUGCACUUCGGGAUAAGCCUGGGAAACUGGGUCUAAUACCGGAUAGGACCAUUGCCUGCAUGGGUGGUGGUGGAAAGCUUUUGCGGUGUGGGAUGGGCCCGCGGCCUAUCAGCUUGUUGGUGGGGUGAUGGCCUACCAAGGCGACGACGGGUAGCCGGCCUGAGAGGGUGACCGGCCAAACUGGGACUGAGAUACGGCCCAGACUCCUACGGGAGGGAGCAGUGGGGAAUAUUGCACAAUGGGCGCAAGCCUGAUGCAGCGACGCCGCGUGAGGGAUGACGGCCUUCGGGUUGUAAACCUCUUUCAGCACCGACGAAGCGCAAGUGACGGUAGGUGCAGAAGAAGGACCGGCCAACUACGUGCCAGCCGCCGCCGUAA
rnacentral:rRNA from 1 species